GAUGAACGCUGGCGGCGUGCUUAACACAUGCAAGUCGAACGAAGCACUCUAUUUGAUUUUCUUCGGAAAUGAAGAUUUUGUGACUGAGUGGCGGACGGGUGAGUAACGCGUGGGUAACCUGCCUCAUACAGGGGGAUAACAGUUGGAAACGACUGCUAAUACCGCAUAAGCGCACAGGAUUGCAUGAUCCGGUGUGUAAAACUCCGGUGGUAUGGGAUGGACCCGCGUCUGAUUAGCCAGUUGGCAGGGUAACGGCCUACCAAAGCGACGAUCAGUAGCCGACCUGAGAGGGUGACCGGCCACAUUGGGACUGAGACACGGCCCAAACUCCUACGGGAGGCAGCAGUGGGGAAUAUUGCACAAUGGGGGAAACCCUGAUGCAGCGACGCCGCGUGAGCGAAGAAGUAUUUCGGUAUGUAAAGCUCUAUCAGCAGGGAAGAAGAAUGACGGUACCUGACUAAGAAGCACCGGCUAAAUACGUGCCAGCAGCCGCGGUAAUACGUAUGGUGCAAGCGUUAUCCGGAUUUACUGGGUGUAAAGGGAGCGCAGGCGGUGCGGCAAGUCUGAUGUGAAAGCCCGGGGCUCAACCCCGGUACUGCAUUGGAAACUGUCGUACUAGAGUGUCGGAGGGGUAAGUGGAAUUCCUAGUGUAGCGGUGAAAUGCGUAGAUAUUAGGAGGA
rnacentral:rRNA from 1 species